CACGUAGGUACCGAGCGUUAUCCGGAUUUACUGGGCGUAAAGCGUGUUCAGGCGGCCUGGCAAGUCGGGCAUGAAAUCUCUCGGCUCAACCGAGAGAGGCUGUCCGAUACUGCUGGGCUUGAGGACGGUAGAGGGUGGUGGAAUUCCGCGUGUAGUGGUGAAAUGCGUAGAUAUGCGGAGGAACACCAGUGGCGAAGGCGGCCACCUGGACCGUCCCUGACGCUCAAACACGAAAGCUAGGGUAGCGAACGGG
rnacentral:rRNA from 1 species